rnacentral:rRNA from 1 species
GUGACCAUGUUCAACGGCCGCGGUAUCCUAACCGUGCGAAGGUAGCGUAAUCACUUGUUCUUUAAAUGUGGACUAGUAUGAAUGGCAUCACGAAGGUUAUACUGUCUCCUUUUUCUAAUCAGUGAAACUAAUCUCCCCGUGAAGAAGCGGGGAUAAAAUUAUAAGACGAGAAGACCCUAUGGAGCUUUAAACAACGCAGCAAUUACCAAAGAAUUUUUAAUGUUCUGUAACACUAACUUUUACAAGUAAAAUGACUGCAAGUUUUUGGUUGGGGUGACCACGGAGUAUAUCAUAACCUCCAUGUUGAAAGAAUUUUUCUAAGCCAAGAAUUACCAAUCUAAGCAUUAACAAAUUAACAUCCAUUGACCCAAUAAAUUUGAUCAACGAACCAAGUUACCCUAGGGAUAACAGCGCAAUCCACUUCAAGAGCCCCUAUCGACAAGUGGGUUUACGACCUCGAUGUUGGAUCAGGGUAUCCCAGUGGUGCAGCCGCUACUAAAGGUUCGU